rnacentral:rRNA from 1 species
UACGUAGGGCGCAAGCGUUGUCCGGAAUUAUUGGGCGUAAAGAGCUCGUAGGCGGUCUGUCGCGUCGGAUGUGAAAAUCCAGGGCUCAACCCUGGACCUGCAUUCGAUACGGGCAGACUAGAGUUCGGCAGGGGAGACUGGAAUUCCUGGUGUAGCGGUGAAAUGCGUAGAUAUCAGGAGGAACACCGGUGGCGAAGGCGGCA